rnacentral:rRNA from 1 species
GACGAACGCUGGCGGCGUGCUUAACACAUGCAAGUCGAACGGUAAGGCCCUUCGGGGUACACGAGUGGCGAACGGGUGAGUAACACGUGGGUGAUCUGCCCUGCACUUCGGGAUAAGCCUGGGAAACUGGGUCUAAUACCGGAUAGGACCACUGCCUGCAUGGGUGGUGGUGGAAAGCUUUUGCGGUGUGGGAUGGGCCCGCGGCCUAUCAGGUUGUUGGUGGGGUGAUGGCCUACCAAGGCGACGACGGGUAGCCGGCCUGGGAGGGUGACCGGCAAUCCUGGGAAUGCGCUACGGCCCAGAGUCCUACGGGAGGCAGCAGUGGGGAAUAUUGAGCAAUGGGCGCAAGCCUGAUGCAGCGACGCCGCGUGAGGGAUGACGGCCUUCGGGUUGUAAACCUCUUUCAGCACCGACGAAGCGCAAGCGACGGUAGGUGCAGAAGAAGGACCGGCCAACUACGUGCCAGCCGCCGCAGUAA